AGCGCUUCUUAAGGCGAUCUUUUUUUGCACGAGCAAACCGAGGCGAGGCACGAACGCGCUUCCCGAAAGCGUUUUGCAUUUAAAACUCGCGUGCGAAGGUCGGCUCUUUUCGCCUGCGCGUUCCCCCGAUCAGGAAUCCCAGCCGGAGAGACCACUUGCCCCGCGGCUGCUUCUCUUCCUGAACUGGCAGUUAAAUGCAGGGACUCCACACUACACUGCCACUACACUACACCGGAGGUUUUUAAGCGGAGGCUAGGUGGCCAUCUGACAGCAAUGCUGAUGUACACAAUGUACACAAAUAUUGACUCUUGUUUGACUCUCCACCAGUUGGAUUUUCAUCGGAUGGACUUUUAACUUUACCUGUUGGAUAUGAUAUUAUUAUGUAUUGAUUGAGUAUAUUGUGUGUACAUUUACAUUAAUUGAUUUUGCACCUUGCACUUUGCGUGUUUAACAGACUUAUAACAUUUAUACAUUUUGUAAUUGUUACUUUCCCUGGUUGUGUAUAGAUAGACUAGUCUUGCUAGUCCAGGGAACCUC